ensembl:lncRNA
AAACAGCAUCUGAUAUUAUUUUCCUGGAAGGGGAGUGAAACAGAAACUACCCAUCAUUUUAGAACAGCUGAACUGGCUUCAUUACUGUACCAAAAAAAAAAAAAAAAAAAAUCAGCUUACACUUUGAUUCCCUCUUCUCUCCUCAGUAUCCUCCUUUAAUUUUCAUCCCAGGACAGGAAUAGGAGUAGCAAUAAAAAUACCUCUUGAGUUAUUACUUCUGCCUUGGUACUGGAAGAGAGGUGUAGAGAAAUCUGGAAACUGUCAUUUCCGGGUUUGAUCAGAAGGGGAAGAUCUGUUGCAGAUGCAGAAGAAGAGGAAGUGUGGUGGAGGCAAAGGACAAAAUUCUCUGAAUGCAGGAGAAUUAUCAUGGAGAUGAGGGAGUGCAUAGUUAAUUUCUGUGGGGAUCCUGGGACCAAAGGUCACUUGCUACAAAUUUGCACGAGUUGGAAAAACUAAAUGUCACAAGUGAGCUAGUGCAAGUUAAAAACUGAGCUUGCACAAAACCGGCUGUUAUUGUUUUCUGUUUUUAAAGAAACUAAAUCUUGCCUUUUUGUGUGGCAGCAGAGUGCUUACUCAUAGUUCUUGAAUGCCUGAGGCUGACUAUGAGGCACUAAGUAUACAUGAGAGUAAUGACAAUUUGGAAUAAUCACUCUUCCUCAGCUGCCUUACUCCAUUCAGAGACACUUGGGAGACAAUUCUUCAUUUGGCAUUAAUGAAUUUUGGUCUGGGCUUCACUUUGCGUAGGAAAAAAGGCAUGGAGUUCUUUCAGUAGACUGCUAUGAAAACAGCAAACUUCCUGUGUCAUCGCUGAGUAUAAAGGUAACUUGAAAAAAUUUGUUCAGGAUAGGAGAAUAUCUAUCAGUGAGUAAAAGCAGAAUUACAGAAAAGAUCCUGUUGUAAUGCAUUAAGUACUUAUCAAGUGACAACAUCAAUUUAUUUUCCUCAAGCAAAAGUAGUGGAUACUACUUAGGCAUAAUCCUAACCCCAAGUGUUGUAAUUCUGAUGACAAAUCUUUUUAAGAAAUAUAGGCAAAAUAGAAAAGUGCACCCUAAUGGAAACAAUAUCUUAAAGUUGACAGAAUUUCAAAAAAGUAGGUUGUCACCUAAAUUAGCUUAUAAGGUUUGAAACAAGGCAAAAACCAAAUGGAAAGAAAACAAUUUGCCGUGAUUCAUUCUUUACAGUUUAAUGUUGUUUUCACAGCUAAAUAAGAUACAAAGGGAAUUAGAUCUUAUUUGUUCUCUUCUAUCUUCCUCUCUGUUGAUCAGCUAAUCAAGAAAGCUCCAAGCUCAAGUGGAAGCUAAUAUUCACUUUUAAUUUCUCUUUAACUCCUCAAAAACCUGAUAAUGUUCUUCAUUAAAUUCACAGCUCAUCCUAUACUCUUGAAAACAAAAAAGUUAAAUUCAAUGGAUUCAAGCUUCUAUGUCUUCUAAAUUCUUGGUUUUAUAGACAUUGCUUAUCUGUGUCUGGAGAAUAUGCCAAUAUACUUAUUAUUUAUUUUGUGUAGAUAACCAAAAUUGUAUUUGUAUUCUUAUAUGGAACGCCAGUAUGACCACAAUUAAUGUAUAAUUUCUUAAUUUCAUUUUUAAGUGAUUUUUUUUCUAAUUUGCUCUUUUCAGGUUAUUAAAAUCAUCUAGGAAGUCAAUGAGGCCUACAGUGCAUUUUAUUUGAUUUCUUGAUAAUUUUCUCAGCCUAAGCAAAACCAAAGUUGUGUAAAUCUAGAAGAACCCAUAGGAGAAAGGUAUGCUUUGAAGAACCAAGAUUCCUUUUGAGUUCAGUCUUAUUGCUUCUGAUGAAGAAAGUGCUACUUCUGUACUAGCCCACAUUACAAGAUUACUCUGCAAUCCUCUGUGCAGAGUCUGUGCAGAAAGAUGAUUAUAUGCGGAAUGAAUUUUUGAUUCAUCAUCAGUCAGUUGAGCUUUGUUACAUUUCAAGCCUAUGGAUUUAAUAAAACAAAACUUCAAGCUGGAGAUCUUAGCUUAUGCUUCUAAAGUGCUAUUUUUCUUCUCAUUUCAUAUGAGAACUUCUUUUCAUACACUAUUUUGUUCAAGGAGUGGGAUUUGGUGCUCUGUCUUCAAGCAAGGGUAAGUCACAUGGAAGAACUAGAAAAGGACAUUCACAAAACAAUAAAUGCAUAACCAUGAAUAUAUUGUUUGGAAUGAUGUUCCUUCAGGUUCUCUCUUGACAUUUGGACUGCCAGUCUCUUCCAUUCAAAAACUUAACAUGACAGGUAGACCAAGAUGUUAUAGUUUUGGGAUGAUAAAUCUGCAACUGAAAGCAUCUACAUAAGAAAUAAAAGAAAACAUCUCUGAUAUCUCUGUCAACAUGUCUAAUGUUUUGAGACAGUCUAGAAGACAUUCCAUAAAACAGGCUUCCAUGGCUCAUUGCUUUAGGUUGAUUACCCAUAUUUUCUCUUUGUAGUAAUGUUUUUUUAAAUGCAUUUCAUUCAACAUAGCAUUUCUUUGGCUACAAAUGGCAGCUCAUUGUUGAAUAGCUAACACUGCUUUGAUGAUUUUGUUACUUCAGUUUGCAUUGGCAUAGCAGAAUCCUCUACAGAAAUAAGGCAGGCCAUUCCUUUGUGCAAAAUUUUUGGAAGUUUGAGCUUUAAAAGGGCAGAACUUUCAACAGCGGAAAGAUGAGUGCUUCAUCCAGUGAAAGUGCUUGAGGUUCAUGAAAGAUUCUUUACUUUCUUAGUGGUGAGGCCAAGGAGAACUGAAAGACCUUGUAAAAUAUUUUCACACACAUGUGCAAAGACACCUUGGGACAGCUAAGUCUACUUAGGGCACUCUUGUGGGUUGGCAGAGAAUGGUUUAGUGGAGGUUUAAAUGUACUUUUUUAUAUCCUAGCUGACAGCCUCAAUCACUGUGCUGUCGUCUACACUUAAUUUAUUUGGUCAGCCUCUUGUGUGUCUCUCUCCUGCCUCACAUCAUCAUGCUCCUUAGUUUUCCUGUUUUCCAAGCCCUCUAGUAUCUGACACACAGUUAAAGGAUUUCCGUGUUCAAUGUUUUUUCUGUUUUGUUUUGUUUUGUUUUUU